AACUAUACAACUUACUACUU
rnacentral:miRNA from 1 species